rnacentral:misc_RNA from 1 species
AACUGGAGGACUUUAUGAUACUGUAUUUGAUGUUGACCAUGACAAAGAGAGAGCACAACAGUGUGGUCUUGGACCUAAUGGAUUCAGCUUUGAUGGAGCAGAUGCUGCCGGAGUUGAUUAUGCUCUGAAUAGAGCUCUCUCUGCUUGGUACGAUGGUCGAGAUUGGUUCAACUCUUUAUGCAAGCAGGUUAUGGAACAAGAUUGGUCUUGGAACCGACCUGCUCUUGAUUAUUUGGAGCUUUACCAUGCUGCUAGAAAGUUAACGUAGUUAGUUUGUGAGAUAGUAGCAGAAAGAUUCACGAGAUCUGCAGUCUGUACAGGUUCAGUGUUUGCGUCUGGACUGCUUUUUAUGUCCUAUAACAAAGUAUAAAUCCUGUCUACCCUGAGAUCGAUAGCAGACAGUACUCAGUUCAUUUCAUUUUUUGUGCAACAUAUGAAAUAGCUUAGCAUCUAAUAAUGUAGUCUAUUGAUGUUUA